GGCUCCCGAUAACCUAGACCAGGGGAAAAAAAAGGCUUUUAUAAGCAUUGGGGUUUUAUUACAAGCGGGAUUCAGAUAGAUGGUGGGAACACGGGUAGUUUCCAGCAAGGCACGACGCGGCUGGCACGGAGCGCGGCGCUCAAGGCUCUUGCGCUGGCCAGUUUCUGUUUUACCUAAUUCCUUCUCCAUGACCCACGCAGCAGCCCCGGCUUUCUGUGAGUCACCUCAGGGCCUGGUUUGUUGCUCAGCCCAACCCUGCAGCUUUUGAACCGGGUUAUCCCCAGCGUAUAAGGUUAGUCAUGCAGCUCUCCUCGCCGUCCCUCGCCACCGGCCAGGCACAGCGGGAGAGGGCAAGGCUGCGGCCACUCUCCCCAUCCACCCUCAGCAGUAGCUUUGCUCUCAGUCAAGGCUGGAGGGAUCCUCCGAGCACCACGAUGCCAGUGGGAAAUGAGCCGAGAGGGGGGGGCGAAUGCCUUAACGCAAUCAUUUAGCGGGAGCGAGGAAGCCCCCAAGAGCUGGUCUCUGCCCAGAAAUCCAAGCGGCUUCUCUUCUGAUGCCCUUGAUUUUUUUGAAGGAGACGUGACAUUUUGAAGCUUUUGUUUUUACAAGCGUUUCCGAAACCCUUGCUUGAUCCAGGGUGCUGCUUGCGUGGGAAACCCUGUGAACCAAGUCUCAGCCCCGAGGAAAUUACAGCUGCUCCUUCUCCUGCAGAAGGAUCGGGGAGGCAUUUCCAGCCGGAUAGGGGUCAGGGGAACAAAGGGCAAAAGCUGGCUGAGAGAUAAGGAGAAAUCUGGAGAGGAUUGGGGCCGCGGAACGUGCCUUGGACCAUAUCUUUGGCCAGCUCUUUGGCUCAGGACUCGAUCGUCCUUUGACAUUGCUGGAAUGUGUUUUACCGUCCAAGAGCGAGCAGCCGUGGGCUGGACACAUCUUCCUUGGAAAGAUGGGCACCGAAGGAAACCGGAGAGGGAGAGCGUAAACACGGCUCCUAAGGGAAUGCUGGGCGCAGAUCCAAGCUGGGGUCUUUGGGAUCAAAUAUCCCGUAGCUGGCAAGGCUGGAAGGAGAGCUCUCCUCAUUUUGCCAAAUUAGAACAAAUCCGCAAUCCUUCGUUAAUCCGGCACCUUUUUUCCUAGUGUGCCACAAGAAACAAUGGGGCGAGCUUGCCGGGACCAGAGGCGGCAGGAAAAGGUGUGAAUUGACUCCGGGGGAAGGAGAGGAUGGCAGAGAAAGAAAAGCACGGUGCGUGCCAGAAACACACAGACAAACAAGCUCCAAAGGACAACGGAGACAACUCCUAACAAAAACACAUCUCUUUUCCUCAUUCGGGGUGGGGACGCCUUGGGAGCCCCCGUUUUCCGUUCCUGCUUUGUUGGGUGGCUCCAGAAAUAUUGUUUUCCCAUUUCCUCCACUCCCCAUGUUUUCCUGAACGGUAAAAGCAUUAACAGCUUUUAAAACCAAGGGCAAAAUAGCCCCCGCCUGUCAGGGGGGGAAUGUAUGCUCAGCAAAAAUGACCUAGGAAGGAAAAUUCGAGGGUUUCUCCGAGUCGAAAGCCUCCUGCUACGGGGACAACACAACAGUCCCCGCUCCCCAAAUCCGGGCUGGAAAAGAGGGACGAGGGCCCUGCCCCGGGCACAGUUUAUAGGAAGGAUGUGGUUGUUUGUCCUCCCUUAGAUCAAGAUAGUCUUGCUGACGAAAAAAAGUUGCCUGUUUUCUGCGGCGAAGAGCAAGAACCAUCUAGACAUUGCGAUCUUAAAAAUAAACAUUUGCCUCAGAUUUUCUCACCGGC